AGAUUAUAGGAUAAAAUUAAGCAAACUAAUUACUUAAGAAGGGCCUGUCACCACCCAAAAAUGAUUUUAUAAGUAGCUCGAUUGAGCGAAGAGCAUGCCCGGAGACACGUUGGUUCCGAAGAACACGCCCGACGACACGUUGUUGCGGUGAUCUUGGGAUCGGCCAGCUACUUUUUGAUAAUUUUCUCUAGCGUGAUAAUGUUAGAUGACCUCGUUUGGAUUUGUCUCGGCGUUAUAGGACAAAGACGAAGACAGAACUUGCCGCCAUCUGUGUUUCUUGGAAUCAAUGCUAAGGUGGGAAUGCGCGAUGGAGUAAAAACUGGAUUCCAACUUCAGAAGCAUUGCGGGUACGUGGCAGAGAGAAAGUGAGGGUUGCCUUCCGCAAGCGGCCAUGCGCAUUGCUCAGGAAAGCAGGUGCCAGAUGCCAGAUACAGCUUCUUUUGUUUCUGCAGGUCCCGGCUGCGAAGAUUGGCAAAGAAAAAGAAAGCUGGAAAGGAAUUCGGUUUAAUUGAAAUUACUGCGAUGGCUAACUCAAGGGGAGAGAAGGGAUUGUAAUGAAGUGACAACAGUAUCAUGUAGUGGGUUACAAUUUUUCAGUCAGGAAACGGAAACCUCUGGAGUAUCUUUAGAAGGAGCCCCUGAUAGGAGAACAGAUAAAGCUCCGCUGAGAUAGUUACAGCUAGUCUGCCCUUUCUGAAGGGUAUGUAUCUUGGUAGGGUUGGAUGGUUUUGUGAGAAACAACCCUAGGACUGGUUUUUGACUGUUUUGAGAUGUAUAUAAUGAAUAUAGUAACUCUGGUAUUGUGUUAGAUAAUACGUAGAGAUGUAUAUGAUUUUAUGUUUCCUGUUGCUUAGGCUUCCGUAUUAUAUCUCUGAUGUA